GCUACUACCGAUUGGGCGUUUUAGUGAGCGCCUCGGAUUGGACCCGGAAAUGGUUGGCAACAACCGUACCGGUGUGCCGAAAAGACGCGCAAACUUGAACGCCUAGAGGAAGUAAAAGUCGUAACAAGGUUUCC
rnacentral:rRNA from 1 species